ensembl:snRNA Gm25328 U6 spliceosomal RNA
GUGCUCGCUUUGGCAGCCUAUUUACUAAAACCGGGACGAUACAAAGAAGAUUAGCAUGGCCCUUGCGCAAGGAUGACACGCAAAUUCGUGAAGUGUUCCAUGUUUUU